UUGUAUAGAGAUUGAUCGCAGAGAGAAAGAGGGAGGAAGAAGGAGAAGCGGAGGAAGAUGAUAUACCGCAAGUGGAGUCUGCUCACUGGUCCCGCCGCCAUACUCGGUGGCAUCGUGGCCACUGUGGUCGUCGCCAAUUACAUCUUCGUCGAACACGAUCCAUUCCGCAAACAAGAGCAGAAGCAGACUGAUGCACAACCAUUGGCGAAGUAAUUAUGGGGAGAUGAACUUCACUCAUUUCAUUUUCUUCUACUGUGUUCCAAGUUUGGUUCUGGGGAAAUGCAUAUGACUUGGUAAUCUCUUACCAGAUUCUGCGGGACAAUCUUUAAUCCGGUUUGUCAACAUUCUUGAACGUUGUGUUGGAAUAAAAGGCUAAAAUUAAAACUCAUUGGAGUACAUGCAGCCAUAACCGCUAU